rnacentral:misc_RNA from 1 species
ACGAUUUCUAAUAUAAUGAAAACUAGUAAUUGUGAUAACAGUAACAUAUCAGUCAACAUUGAUGAUACAAAUUCUAUAAAAACUCAGGAUAGUGGUUAUUCCUCAUCAAAGAAUAUUUCAUCUAUUGUACAUACGCAUGAUGUAAAAUGCAAUAUAUGGAACGAUAUUGUUUCUAGUAACAUCAGUCAAGAUUCUGCUAUUAGUAUGAGUGAUCAUUGUUCUGAAGAAAAUAUUAAAUCUGGCAAUAUAUUUCAUCUCUUUGAGUUAAAUGAUUCUGAUGUAGACAUAACAAAAUCAUCUAAUUUCUCUACAUUUUCUAUGUCGAAUAAAUGUUCUAUUCCAGCAACAUCAACAAUGAUAAGCAACAAAAACAUUAAAUUCAAUAUUUCUGAAGAUUCUUUACUUAAUGACGAACAUUCUCUAUGUGAAAACGUAUCAAAUCUUGCAGCAAAUUCAAAUGAUUUAAAAAUGUCUACAUCUUAUGAAAAGAAUAAUGAACACAUAGUUUGUACAUCACCAACAAAUAAUAAUGCACUAUCUUUAAAAUAUCAUAAGAAUAUUCAUUACAUACGAAAUAAUACUUCAAAAGCUAAAAUAACUCCCAAACGAUAUAUAAAAUGGAGAAAAACUAAUUCUUGCACAUCUGUUCAUAAAAUGACAACACAUGAAAAAUAUAAAUUUGUGAAAACAAACUCGUACCCAAAUAUAUUAAAAUAUGGCCAGGAACAAUAUAACGAUACAUUUUUAUAUAAAUUAGAUGAGAGAAAGCAUUUGUCUAAAUCACACACAUCAAUUUUUUCGAAAAUAAGUCAUUUCAAUUUCUGUCCAACAUUUUUUGAUAAUGAACAAGACACUUUGACUAAUUCUCAUUAUUCUCCUCCUGAAAAAAACCUCUUUAAAAAAAAAUAUACAUCCUUGUCCAAAUCUCUUCCAAUAUCUACAAAGAUUUCAAACACUAAACAUAACUCAAGAAACACUUAUAAUUUUAAUGGAAAAAGUUGCGGUGUACAGUCUACAUCACAUGACAUAAAAACAAAAUGCACAGAUUUCAAGACUCAGAAGGAUAAAGCAUUCGUGGUAGUAGAUGAAGCCAAUGUAAAUGUACUACCAAAUCUGGCUUCAGUGUCAGCUUUCAUAGUCAAAACUGGAUGGUUUUGGGUAUCUGUACAGAAUGAGGCAGCAGCAGAUGAGAAAGAAUAUUUAUUUGAACAUUAUCUAGAAACAGCUUUAUCGCCUACUGCAUCUAAUAGGAGAAACAGUCAACAGAUAGUGGCAUCAAAUAUAACAUUAUCAAAGCAUCCGUGUUGGUUGGGUGGCCCAUUAGCUAAUAUAUUACAAAAUGGAGCGGACUCACCAGCUAGUGUCAGUGGAAGUUUUCUCGACUGCACGGCGAGUCCAGAUAAACAGUUGUUGGAUGGUAUUCCAGAGGUAGAAACUGUCGAUACAGAAAAUUUACCAAAUGUUAGAGAAAAUUUAUCAAAGCGUCAUCAAGUAUUUCUUGAAUUAGUAGAGACCGAAGCCAAUUAUGUUGGUAUUCUCAAUACAAUUAUGAUGCUAUUCAAAUUACCAUUGGAAAAUCUUGUAGGGAAAAGUGGAAAAGAAUUAUUAAAUAGCACAGAAGUAAAAAUUAUAUUUGGUAAUUUCCCACCCAUUUAUGACGUUCAUAAGCAGUUAUUGGAAGCCCUACGUUGCAGUGCCACUAAUUGGACAGAAGAUAUUAGUAUUGGCAAAAUAUUUUUGAAAUAUGAACUAGAUUUGGUUAAAGCAUAUCCUCCAUAUGUCAACUUCUUUGAAAACACAAAACAGAUGUUGGAAGAAUGCGAUCAAAACAAACCACGAUUUCAUGCUUUUUUGAAAAAUUGUCAGACAAUACCAGAAUGUGGUAGACAAAGCUUAAAAGAGCUGUUAAUUAAACCAAUACAAAGAUUACCCAGUAUUAAUCUAUUAUUAAGUGAUAUUCUUAAACAUACUGACAAAAGUAAUCCAGACUAUAGUGCUCUAGAAGCUUCCAUUAAUUGUAUUAAGAAAGUUAUGACAUAUAUAAACGAAGAUAAAAGGAAAACAGAACGCCAGUUAGCAAUGUUUGAUAUUUUCAAUGAAAUUGAUAAUUGUCCGCCGCAUUUAGUUUCUUCACAUAGAUCAUUUAUCAAUAAGUGUGAUGUAAUGGAAGUUACAGAAGGUCUUAGCGGACGGGGCGAUCAUUUAGUAUUGUUUCUAUUUACUGAUACUCUUGAAAUAUGUAAGAAAAGAUCAAAGGCUUUUAAUUCAUUAAAAAGUCCUAACACUAUAAAUGGUUUGCAAUCGAGUAAAUUAAAUCAAGGAAAACUAUAUAAGCAUAUCAAAAUGUUAUCACUCAGCACUAUACGAAAAGUUGUAGACAUACGAGAAACUGAAGGAUAUCACAAACUAUUUGCACUCGUAGUACGUGGCACUCAGGAAUUAAAGGAAAAAUUCUUUUCGUUUAUAAUUACUGACGAAGAAAUAAAUAAAACAAAUUAUUUACAGAUUUUAUGUAGACAAAUGGCUCUUGCUGUCCGUGUAGCUGAUGCUGAUACAUUACUUAUUAGAUACGAUUCGCAUCAACUCGAAGUCGGUACUGGUGAUGUAGCAUCAGGAACAUUAAAAAAAACAAUUAAUUUGAAGAAAAGUGUCAGAAGUUGUCUACAAAAGUUAUCUGGAAAGAUAUUUAUUUAAAAAACAUGGAAUAAAAGAAAAUAAUUAAACAAGAGGACAUUUACUUAAAACAUAAAAUCAAUGUGGUGAAACAAUCGCGUGAGAAAAAAAUUCGCUCGUGUGUGCUAAAAUUUACACCUGAAUAUUUUGAAUGAAAAGAUGAUUAUGACAAGUUAUUGCAUUUAUUUUUAUUUA